AAUGACCGAUAGUGAAUCAGUACCGUGAGGGAAUGGUGAAAAGUACCCCGGGAGGGGAGUGAAAGAGUUCCUGAAACCGGUCGCAUGCAAGCCGUCAGAGCCUGUGUGGUGAUGGCGUGCCUUUUGAAGAAUGAGCCUGCGAGUUAGUGAUGCGUGGCGAGGUUAACCCGUGGUGGGGGAGUCGUAGCGAAAGCGAGUCCGAUAAGGGCGUGAGUCGCGUGUUCUAGACCCGAAGCGGUGUGAUC
rnacentral:rRNA from 13 species